rnacentral:tRNA from 1 species
GCCGAAGUGGUGGAAUGGCAGACGCGACGGACUCAAAAUCCGUUGUUGGAGACAACGUGUGGGUUCAAGUCCCACCUUCGGCACCA